rnacentral:rRNA from 1 species
GAUGAACGCUGGCGGCGUGCCUAGUACAUGCAAGUCGAGCGAACAGAUGAGGAGCUUGCUCCUCUGACGUUAGCGGCGGACGGGUGAGUAACACGUGGAUAACCUACCUAUAAGACUGGGAUAACUUCGGGAGACCGGAGCUAAUACCGGAUAAUAUAUUGAACCGCAUGGUUCAAUAGUGAAAGACGGUUUUGCUGUCACUUAUAGAUGGAUCCGCGCCGCAUUAGCUAGUUGGUAAGGUAACGGCUUACCAAGGCAACGAUGCGUAGCCGACCUGAGAGGGUGAUCGGCCACACUGGAACUGAGACACGGUCCAGACUCCUACGGGAGGCAGCAGUAGGGAAUCUUCCGCAAUGGGCGAAAGCCUGACGGAGCAACGCCGCGUGAGUGAUGAAGGUCUUCGGAUCGUAAAACUCUGUUAUUAGGGAAGAACAAAUGUGUAAGUAACUAUGCACGUCUUGACGGUACCUAAUCAGAAAGCCACGGCUAACUACGUG